GAUGAACGCUGGCGGCGUGCCUAAUACAUGCAAGUCGAGCGAACAGAUGAGGAGCUUGCUCCUCUGACGUUAGCGGCGGACGGGUGAGUAACACGUGGAUAACCUACCUAUAAGACUGGGAUAACUUCGGGAAACCGGAGCUAAUACCGGAUAAUAUAUUGAACCGCAUGGUUCAAUAGUGAAAGACGGUUUUGCUGUCACUUAUAGAUGGUUCCGCGCCGCAUUAGCUAGUUGGUAAGGUAACGGCUUACCAAGGCAACGAUGCGUAGCCGACCUGGGAGGGUGAUCGGCCACACUGGAACUGAAACACGGUCCAGACUCCUACGGGAGGCAGCAGUAGGGAAUCUUCCGCAAUGGGCGAAAGCCUGACGGAGCAACGCCGCGUGAGUGAUGAAGGUCUUCGGAUCGUAAAACUCUGUUAUUAGGGAAGAACAAAUGUGUAAGUAACUAUGCACGUCUUGACGGUACCUAAUGAGAAAGCCACGGCUAACUACGUG
rnacentral:rRNA from 1 species